CGACUGAACACAUUUAGAAAUGCAGGAAAAAAGGCAGUCUAGAAGCUAUUGAUAUCUUUCUUCAAUUUUUUUUUCUACAUUCAUAUCCAUUAGGUUAUUUAAAUACUAAACCAGUGGUAGGUAACCUUCGAUAAUCCAGAUGUUGUGGACUAAAACUGUUUGGGAACUUCUCUAAUUAACAUUUGAAGUACAAACUGACGUAAAUGCAUGUAGUAGUGUUUUCUGCAGAACCAUGGCAAUGUGAGUUCUUUUAGAUUAAUAUUAUUGGUUGGAUAUAGUAAGGACACUAAACUACAUUUUAUCAAUACAAAAUCUAAUUUUGUGUCUUUACUACACUAUGGAAUAGAGGGUCAUACUUGUUACAUAUAUGUCAGAAACAUACCAUUU